rnacentral:rRNA from 1 species
CCUACGGGUGGCAGCAGUGGGGAAUAUUGCACAAUGGGGGGAACCCUGAUGCAGCAAUGCCGCGUGAAGGAUGAAGGUUUUCGGAUUGUAAACUUCUUUUGUACGGGACGAAGAAAGUGACGGUACCGUAAGAAUAAGCCACGGCUAACUACGUGCCAGCAGCCGCGGUAAUACGUAGGUGGCAAGCGUUAUCCGGAUUUACUGGGUGUAAAGGGCGAGUAGGCGGGAUUGCAAGUCAGAUGUGAAAACUAUGGGCUCAACCGAUAGAGUGCAUUUGAAACUGCAGUUCUUGAGUGAUGGAGAGGCAGGCGGAAUUCCUAGUGUAGCGGUGAAAUGCGUAGAUAUUAGGAGGAACACCAGUGGCGAAGGCGGCUCACUGGACUGUAACUGACGUUGAGGCUCGAAAGCGUGGGGAGCAAACAGGAUUAGAUACCCGUGUAGUC